CUGAGGGGACCAACAGACCCGCUCUUAAGCCCAGCAGCAGGAGCAGGGUGCUGGCUACUCAGGGCUACAGUAGUUCCUGUGCCUGCUUGUUCCCAGUGCUGCCUUGCUCCAGGUCUCGGUAGGUUGCAAAGAUGUGUUCUGGGGGGUCUGGACCCUCCACUAGCUGCCUGACCAGCUCCAGCCCAAUACCCCGAUUGGAUCCAGUCACCAAGACAUUCCGAGCCAGCGGAGACAUCUCUGCCCCUCACUGUUCACAGAAGAAAUGGACUUUGGCCAGCACAAUUGUAACGCAUGCUGGAUUUUUAAAAUCAAAUUUAAGAGGAAAAAAGACAAGGAGUGGAAGGAAGUGUUGAUCAGUGCCAGCCUGGUGUGUCUGAAACUGUGCCCUUUGUUUAUAGUGAUUCAGUGGGAGCUAGUGCUUCUCUGUUGAAGAUGACUGGGGUUCACAGACUGAGAGCAGCAAGUGAUCAAACAUUCUGUAAAUGAUUUCAAUGCCAACUGUAAACUUCCCAGCAAUUAGGUAAAGAAUGACAGCAAUAAAACCC